CUCUCUUAAUAUCUCUUUCUCGCGUUUCUGUAUCGCAUACAACAUGAAAUCCGGGACAUCCUGCUCACCGUUUUCAUAUCUACAUUUCAUAAAUCUGUUCAUGUCCUCCAGACUCAGCAUCUCCAGCUCCGUCCUUGUUUUGCUGAACCACAGCAUCGGCUCUGGGGACGCGACAAUUGCCCUUCUUAUCUUCUCCAAUCUCAGUAUUACACUGGGACCCAUCUCAAUCAUUUCCGUGAUAUCUUUUAUCCAUUUACGCUUCAGCGCAUCCUCCAAACCACAGGCUUCCAUUAAAUUUCUCUCUGGAAUCAUGUAGUAUUUAAGUAGUUUUUUCUCAAUAGCAGUCCUAAGCCCUCUCAGUCCGUCAUGAAGCCAGUGCAGUAAGCUACGUGAAUGAAACUCUGUCUGUGGGGUGUUUUCAGCUUGCCAUAAUAUGAUGUUUUUCAACACGUACGAUGUUAUUUCUUUAUUAGUUGGUUUAAUUAUUUCUUUAAGGAUCCAUUUAAGCAGAACGUACACUUUCGCUUGUGUUUCAUUAAGGUUGUUCAUAAGUUCUGUCUCACCGGAGUUAAAACAAAUCCUCCAUUCGAUGUGCUUGUUUUCACUUUCCUUAAAUCCCGUCGGGGUUACAUAGGCUCCUAACGAUACGACUUUCUGAACUAUAACUGAUUGUGGCCAAUGACGGGGUCUGACAGCCCAUCUGUGUAGGAUGCUGGGGCACUGA